UACGUAGGGUGCAAGCGUUAAUCGGAAUUACUGGGCGUAAAGCGUGCGCAGGCGGUUAUGUAAGACAGUUGUGAAAUCCCCGGGCUCAACCUGGGAAUUGCAUCUGUGACUGCAUAGCUAGAGUACGGUAGAGGGGGGGAUGGAAUUCCGCGUGUAGCAGUGAAAUGCGUAGAUAUGCGGAGGAACACCGAUGGCGAAGGCAAUCCCCUGGACCUGUACUGACGCUCAUGCACGAAAGCGUGGGGAGCAAACAGG
rnacentral:rRNA from 1 species